GAGGAUGUAGCUCAGUGGUAGAGUGUGUGCUUACCAUGAACGAGGUCCUGGGCUCAAUCCCCAGUACCUCU
rnacentral:tRNA from 1 species